UACGGGGGGGGCAAGCGUUGUUCGGAAUUACUGGGCGUAAAGGGCUCGUAGGCGGCCAACUAAGUCGGACGUGAAAUCCCCAGGCUCAACCUGGGAACUGCGUCCGAUACUGGAUGGCUUGAAUUCGGGAGAGGGAUGCAGAAUUCCAGGUGUAGCGGUGAAAUGCGUAGAUAUCUGGAGGAAUACCGGUGGCGAAGGCGGCAUCCUGGACCAUUACUGACGCUGAGGCGCGAAAGCUAGGGGAGCAAACGGG
rnacentral:rRNA from 1 species